GGAGGCGGAGGAGGGAGGGUGGGGCGCAGGACCGCUGGGUCGCGCGUUGCCGCCGCCACACCCUGGGAAGGGGCUAGUCUCCGGGCAGCCGGGGGUCCGCUUUCCCAAUGAGAAGGGUGCAGAUAAGCGCCAGCCCUCCGGCCCGCGCGUCUGCAGCGCUCCCGCUCCCCCUCGGCGCUCUCGCCCCGCCGCCGCCGCCGGCCCAGCAACUUUGUUCCGGAAGAUCAGCCCCACUACGUUCCCGGGUCAGCGUCUGCCGGGCCUCGGCGGUCACCGCGGCCACCGCGACGGGAACUUGGCGCCCCAAGUCACCUGACCGCGCGCCCCGUCAAUCAGCGCCUGCCCUGCGCGCCCUCCCAGCCCGCAGCAGCCGGGCUCCGCGCUUGGCUGGCCUGGGGCGCGCGCUCCAGGGUGAACCGUGCGUGCCGGGAGCCGGGAGUCCGGAGACCGAAGCCCGAAUGGAUGCCUCGAGCAGACACAAUUCCCCUUAUUCAGAUUAUCCGAAAAUGUGAGUUACGUCCCCCUAGGCAAAACAGGUCUCUAGUUAGGGUGAUUUUUUUUUAAGAGAUAAAUUCCAAUCUGCCUUCCAACUCACCCCAUCUCAGUUUGCUGACGUUGCUGAUUUUUUUUUUACCUCUAGUUCCAACCGUACAUUUAUUUUACAUUAUUUCUCUAGUGUCGUUAACAUUAAAAAAGAAGUUUUCUCUUAACAUUAGUUUGUAUUACAAGUAGUGUUUGUGCUGACCUUAUUUUUCUGUUUUCCAAUAUGCACACACAAACGCACAUCUGUUAUAGAGCCUGUUCCAAGCUGGAGAGGUUGACCAAAAAAUAUCUGGGAAGAAAUGAGCUCGUGAUGUGUGUGCAUUUUUCUUAUUUACACAUUUCAUUGUUCGUGUGUUCCUGUGAUUCUUUUACACGAUCAGCACACGUGGGAGGGGAAAGAAAACAGCAACCUGAGUUCCUAGUUCGUAUUAACAGAGAAAAGGAUGGUUGAUACUGGAGCGCCGGCUUAUUGCUGGCUUAAUAUUUGAGUUAAUUUACGCGGCAGUAAAGAUUAAACCACUAGGGGCCUUAAACGAAUUUUCAGAGUUUACUCGCCUUUUGUUAUAGUGAAAGGUUCCCACAUCCAUCCUUAACUUCCCUCCUUUUGAUGAUUUUCUACGUAUAAGCCAAAUAAAAUCUAAAGGAU